CUGGGCGUAAAGGGUGCGUAGGUGNCCAGGAAAGUUUGAUGUGAAAGCUCCGAGCUCAACUCGGAAAAUGCAUUGAAUACUACUUGGCUUGAGGAUCGGAGGGGAGACUGGAAUUCUCGGUGUAGCAGUGAAAUGCGUAGAUAUCGAGAGGAACACCAGUGGCGAAGGCGAGUCUCUGGGCGAUUCCUGACACUGAGGCACGAAAGCUAGGGGAGCAAACAGGAUUAGAUACCCUGGUAGUCCUAGCCGUAAACGGUGCACACUUGCUGUAGGAGGAUUCGACCCCUUCUGUGGCGGAGCAAACGCGUUAAGUGUGCCGCCUGGGGAGUACGGUCGCAAGAUUAAAACUCAAAGAAAUUGACGGGGGCCUGCACAAGCGGUGGAGUAUGUGGCUUAAUUCGAUGCAACGCGAAGAACCUUACCUGGCCUUGACAUGCAUCUCUAAGCGUGUGAAAGCACGUGACCCUUCGGGGAAUUUGCACAGGUGCUGCAUGGCUGUCGUCAGCUCGUGUCGUGAGAUGUUGGGUUAAGUCCCGCAACGAGCGCAACCCUUGUGUCCUGUUGCCACUUCCGCUAGCGCGGAAAGCACUCUGGACAGACUGCCUCGUCUCAACGAGGAGGAAGGUGGGGAUGACGUCAAGUCAGUAUGGCCCUUACGGCCAGGGCUGCACACGUACUACAAUGCCUGGUACAAUGGGAAGCAAUACCGUGAGGUGGAGCAAAUCCUCAAAACCAGGCCCAGUUCAGAUUGUAGUCUGCAACUCGACUACAUGAAGUCGGAAUCGCUAGUAAUGGCGCAUCAGCUACGGCGCCGUGAAUACGUUCCCAGGCCUUGUACACACCGCCCGUCACAUCAUGAAAGCCGGUUGUACCCGAAGUCGCUGAGCUAACCCGCAAGGGAGGCAAGUGCCGAAGGUAUGGCUGGUAAUUGGGAUGAAGUCGUAACAAGGUAACCGUA
rnacentral:rRNA from 1 species